rnacentral:lncRNA from 1 species
ACCUUUGGUCCUGACAAAGUCUGUUUACUAAAGCCAUCAACACAUUCAGUGUCAAAUGGUCAAGUCAUACAUACAGCAUACGGGACUCCCCGAAUAUUUGUUCAACUCAAUCUGGGAGAAAAAUACAUUUUAAGGAUUAAAGGAUUGCUUUUAAAUAUUUAAACUGCCUAUUUCUGUAUCUUAAUACCUAAAUUGAUUUCUUACAGAACAAGCCAAAUUUUCCCAGAAAAUUACAUUGGGCAUCUUUGGAAGAACAUUAAAACUUUGAGGUAGCCCUGGUCCUGUUGCUCAAAUUACUGCUCCAGUGCACCAAACGGUGACCUGUUCAGUAGCUCAGAGUAUGCAAAAAACAGAAAAUCUACAAGUUUUGGACAAAAUUCCUCCCAAACACCUCACCUGGGAUCACUAGAGUCUGCAAAAGUCGUAUGCUAUGCUGUUUCAAGGAAUCUUCAUCCUCUUUCUAGGUUUGGUAAGAAGACUCUCAAAUCAAUUUUAAAGCAAAUCAUCCAGGAUCACACACCAAAACCAGACCAUGGAUUUGGUUCAAUUAUAAAUCUGCUGCUUGAGUGA